UACGUAGGGGGCAAGCGUUGUCCGGAUUUAUUGGGCGUAAAGGGCGCGUAGGCGGCCCGCUAAGUCGAACGUGAAAUCCCCAGGCUCAACCUGGGAACUGCGUCCGAUACUGGCAGGCUUGAAUCCGGGAGAGGGAUGUGGAAUUCCAGGUGUAGCGGUGAAAUGCGUAGAUAUCUGGAGGAACACCGGUGGCGAAGGCGGCAUCCUGGACCGGUAUUGACGCUGAGGCGCGAAAGCUAGGGGAGCAAACGGG
rnacentral:rRNA from 1 species